AACACAAGAUCCAGCGCACUCACCUAUCCACUAAACAGCAACUGCAAUGUUGAAAGAUUUUUUUUUUUUUUAAACGCCUAAUAAAAUCUUUCAACAUUGAAGUUGCUGUUUAGUGGAUGGGUGAGUGCGCUGGAUCUUGUGUUU